rnacentral:rRNA from 1 species
GACGAACGCUGGCGGCGUGCUUAACACAUGCAAGUCGAACGAAGUGGAGAACGGGUGAGUAAUACGUGGGUAACCUGCCCUCCUUUUUGGGAUAAGCCGUGGCAACGGGGACUAAUACCGAAUAAAGGGGGAUGGGCUCGCGGCCGAUCAGCGUGUUGGUGGGGUGAUGGCCUACCAAGGCGGUGACGGGUAGCCGGCCUGAGGGGGUGACUGGCCACAUUGGGACGGCGAGACGGCCCCGACUGCUACCGGAGGCAGCAGUGGGGGAUAUGGCACAAUGGGCGAAGGCCUGAUCCAGCGACGCCGCGUUGGGGAUGAAGGCUUUCGGGUUUUAAACCUCUUUCGCUCUCGAACGGGUAGGUGGCGAAGAAGCGCCGGCUAACUACGUGCCAGCAGCCGCGGUAAUUC